rnacentral:lncRNA from 1 species
GUGGAGAGGACCGCCGCCGCCAGCCGUGGCUGGCCUCGGGCGCCACCAUGCCAUGCGAGAGCUGUGGUCUCAGGCACAGCCGCCACGCGUACGCGGCCGUGGCGCGGGUAGCCAUGGGCUCCCGCCACUGCUCUGCCGGAGGUCUCCGUGGAGGAGCAGCCAAGGCGCAUGGACGGGGGCACCGCUAGCGAUGUGAUGAAAAGCAGCAGCAAUUGCCGCUCGAUCCAGUGCAAGAGUAAGUGAACGCAUGGUACCUUUUUCCCUUUUUGCAUCUCUCAAUCGAUGGGCUUCUCCUUGUCUGUUUUCACUUGCUCUUCCUGAUUUACUCUUAUAUUUCCUGUGAAGAAUCACUCCGGAAGAUGAAAUAGAGAUCUUUGAUUGAUGGCAAGAGCACGCGGGCAGGCUGCAGACGCCCUUCGUCGCCUUUGCGCCGGAUGACCAGGCCCCCGCGAGUUCUUGUCGUCGCUGUGCAUCCUCGCCGGCCUCAUUUUUCUCGGUAGAGACAACGUGGCUGAUAACGUGUGAAGAAUCGAUUGUAAAGGAACAAGAGAAUCGAACAAAUGAUUGAAUCGGUUGCCUUUAUUGAUGAUUGACAUGCUAUUUAUACAAUGGGAACGGACUGGGAUCAGGUGACAUUGCUUCACGCAGUCACGCCGUAACAUGCGGCUGUGCAUCUACCAUUGAAGCAAAAUCUAAC